rnacentral:rRNA from 1 species
UACGGGGGGGGCAAGCGUUGUUCGGAAUUACUGGGCGUAAAGGGCUCGUAGGCGGCCAACUAAGUCAGACGUGAAAUCCCUCGGCUUAACCGGGGAACUGCGUCUGAUACUGGAUGGCUUGAGUGUGGGAGAGGGAUGCGGAAUUCCAGGUGUAGCGGUGAAAUGCGUAGAUAUCUGGAGGAACACCGGUGGCGAAGGCGGCAUCCUGGGCCGACACUGACGCUGAUGAGCGAAAGCCAGGGGAGCAACGGG